UAAACUCCAAACUAUGAACUUUUUUCUAGGCCCUGACAUGGGAGAGUCAAGCCAGUGUCGUCCGGAGAGCAGCUCCCUCUGACGAGAAAAACGCUAGUCAAACCAUAGACGACGCCAUUCACUCCUUCAAAACUGGCCUUGACGACUUGGUGAAAAACAUCCAAGGCAACGAGUUGUUUAGAAACGUGAGCGAAACCCUGCAACAGUUUGGACAGACCGUGCAGCAGCAAGGGAAAGACCUGAUACAGAAGAUACAGACAGAUGGCCAGACUCGAGUGUAGAUUGUCUAAAUUCAAUUUUAGUUUAAUUAAUUUUAAUAAAUACUUGUUCAUGUAUACGAAUCUAUAUUAAAACUUAGUUAAAGUUAC